UUUGUGCUUCCCGCACAAAGGCAACUUGUAACAAGUUUUCUUCUGUGGGACUUGAACAGGGAAGACCACCACAAAUUUGGGGCAUAUAUUCUCUCUAUUUUGUAGGGAGCAUGGCUCCGGCCAUGCUCCAAAUUUAUAUCAUUUUGGAAGGUUAGUAUUAUAGAUUCGUCCCUGUGAGUACUUUAGUGUAUAAUGUGAUCUUUUUGUGAGAAUAUUGUGUUCAUUUUGAGGCCGGAUGAUUCACGUCUGUAAUUUGUAACAUAUGUAGCCAGCCGUGUGUUGACAUUUGACCUUUAUCGUUCUAUUUUAUUGUGCCUUACAUUUAUCGUGGAUUAUUGCUUUGUGUAAAGAAUAUUAUCAUCUUGACUCUUGUGUAGAAAUAAUGUAAAUACAAGUUCGGUAAGCUCA